ensembl:lncRNA
GCCUUUGUGCUGCCCACCAAGCCCAAGACCACAUCCAUAAAUCAUAACGAAUAGUUGCAGAAUUGAGGUUUGCUAGUUUUCUUCAAAAGAUUUUAUUUUGUAAGCAAAUGUGGCCAUAUGUGCCACUUGAGCACCACUAUGAUUUAGCAAAAGUGUCGUUAGUAAGUAUUGGGGAAAAACUAUUGAUUUGGGGCUUUAACUUGUUUGGGGAAAAUAUAUUGAUUUAUGAUAAGAGUUUUUAUUAAUUGCUUUGUAACUCAGGAAAAGUGUCAAUUUUCAGUAAUAAGUUAUUAUUUUAAAUAUUCCUUAUGACUACUUCUGGGCAAACUGUAAUUAAAAAGUAGGGCAAGGCCGGGUGCGGCGGCUCACGACUGUAAUCCCCAUACUUUGGGAGGCCAAGGAGGGUGGAUCGCUUGACCUCGGGAGUUCGAGACCAGCCUAGCCAACAUGAUGAAACCCCGUCUGUACUAAAAAUACAAAAAUUAGCCGGGUGUGGUGGCACAUGCCUGUAAUCCUAGCUACUCAGGAGGCUGAGGCAGGAGAAUCACUUGAACCUAGGAGGCAAAGGUUGCAGUGAGCCGAAAUCGCACCACUGCACUCCAGCCUGGGUGACAGAGGGAGACUUCAACUAAAAAAAAAAAAAAAAAAAAAGUGGAGCAAAAGACCAGGUACAGUGGCUCAUGCCUGUAAUCUCAGCACUUUGGGAGACCAAGGUCAGAGGAUCGCUUGAGCCCAGGAGUUCAAGACCAGCCUGGCCAACAUAUAGAGGCCCUGUCUCUGUGAAAACAAAAAAUAAAAAAAAAAAGGAAGGUGGGGGCACGGUGGCUCACGCCUGUAAUCCCAGCACUUUGGGAGGCCAAGGCGGGUGGAUCACCUGAGGUCAGGGGUUUGAGACCACUCUGGCCAACAUGGUGAAACCUUGUCUCUACUAAAAAUACAAAAAAUUAGCCAGGCGUGGUGGUGGGCACUGGUAAUCCCAGCUACUCGGCAGGUUGAGGCAGGAGAAUCACUUGAACCCAGGGGCAGAGGUUGCAGAUCGCGUCAUUGCACUCCAGCCUGGGCAACAAGAGCGAAACUCUGUGUCAAAAUAAUAAUAACUAAUAAUAAUAGUGAUAAUACAGAACAAUGGGGGGAAAAUGUGCUUUCUUUAGCCCCAGCGGCAUUUUUAAAAACAAUUUAACCUAAACCAUUUGUAUUAGAAGAAAGUUUCCUGAGUAGUCAACACUGCAGAAAUAUAAAAUCAGUAUUUUACCUAAAAUGAAUGUGAAAAGUUUAUUAAAUACUUAGAAGUACUUAUUACCCAAAAUAUUUCAUUCUAGUUUUUCAAAAUGCUCUAAAGAAGUGAUUGCAGAACUUGUUUUUACAAACUGAACCCACACCCCGCGAGCUGGCAAAAGUACUCGAAAAUCUCCACGAAUGCUGGUCACUGAAGACACCUAGAGGACGUAUUUAGAAACUACACAAAAACAGGACACCAAAUGUUUAACAGUUCCUAUUACUGUCUUUGUGUUUAAGGAGCAUUUGCUCAGGACAUCCUGUGGGAGGAGGGGAGCAGAGUGGGGAAUCAGGCCUUUAGUGUCAAAAACUGCAAAAUCAGACUCUUGGCACAUGCCAGAGUAAUUUUCAUAAUUUGC